ensembl:lncRNA
AGCGGGGAUCGGCUGGGCGGCAUCGAGCCCACGGCGGCGUUUUCAGGGCCGAACAAAGCGAUGUUGACGACCCGAGUUUGGGUGUCACGUAUUAUUGUGUAGGCGGACGGACUCUAGGACCCUGGGAAGGCCCACGCUGAGACGUCUCCGGAGGGAGACGGGAGGACAGGGCAACAAAGCAGCGAGCAUUGUGGGAAAUGUACUCCAGGUAAAUCCUGGUUCAUCUCGUGGCCUCCGUCGGGCGGGAGGAGUUACCGCUGUCCUCUGGCACCCUGAUUACCCACAAUGCACCUCGAGGUAACAAUGUGGCGAGGAACGAGGCCGAGUGAACAUGAGGGCAGCAGAGGGGAGGAAGAGGCGAGAGGGAGACUCUUCGGCACCUGGAGGUGGUCGACGACCCGAGCUAAUGAGAGAGCAUCGUGCUCUGCAGGAGGGGGAGGAGCCUGGAGGCCUCCAGGAGGGAAAUAAACAAACUGUCGCGGAGCAGAUCGGAAGUACGUCUGUUGCCACGGUAACCGAUAAACAGCUGAGGUCCAAACUCCACGUGCCUCUGAAACACAAUCCACCGUGUGCGUGAUGCUUCUGGUCACCCGACCAGAUAAAUCCUAAUAAAAGAAGGGAAGCUUGAAUCACCCCCCCCCCCCCUCCCCCCCAAGGUCUUUCUUUUCUGGCCUCUGAACAAUCCGAGGCUCUGGGUUUCAACGCCGACCUCCAACGCCUGUACGCCGCGGUGGUCGCCCGCGGCAACGCUCGGAAACGCAAACUGUCCGAGGAGCAGCAGACAGCCGCCGUGGCCCCGUGUUUAGGUGGAUCCGUCUCCAGUGAAGCAGGUGAAGGCGGGAAGGAGCAGGCUGCUGCAUCCAAGAUGGCCGACAGACCCGGCGCACAUCAGUCUGUCCCCGUCCUGUCCAAUCCGCCCGCACGCCCGUCCUCCAAACCAAAGAAGAAGAAAGCAGUGGGCCUGUUCCGGUGACCUCCUCCUGUCUGAAGGGUGUGCUCCUUUUAACCAAGUUUUACUUUUGACAAAAUGACUUUGAUUAUGGCUCAACUUUUAGAUUAAAAAUGCUUUUAAAGUCUUAAUUAAACGUGUUUCAUUUUUGA